GAUGAACGCUGGCGGCGUGCCUAAUACAUGCAAGUCGAGCGAACAGACGAGGAGCUUACUCCUCUGACGUUAGCGGCGGACGGGUGAGUAACACGUGGAUAACCUACCUAUAAGACUGGGAUAACUUCGGGAAACCGGAGCUAAUACCGGAUAAUAUAUUGAACCGCAUGGUUCAAUAGUGAAAGACGGUUUUGCUGUCACUUAUAGAUGGAUCCGCGCCGCAUUAGCUAGUUGGUAAGGUAACGGCUUACCAAGGCAACGAUGCGUAGCCGACCUGAGAGGGUGAUCGGCCACACUGGAACUGAGCCACGGUCCAGACUCCUACGGGAGGCAGCAGUAGGGAAUCUUCCGCAAUGGGCGAAAGCUUGACGGAGCAACGCCGCGUGAGUGAUGAAGGUCUUCGGAUCGUAAAACUCUGUUAUUAGGGAAGAACAAAUGUGUAAGUAACUAUGCACGUCUUGACGGUACCUAAUCAGAAAGCCACGGCUAACUACGUG
rnacentral:rRNA from 1 species